GAAAUGCGAUAAGUAAUGUGAAUUGCAGAAUUCAGUGAAUCAUCGAAUCUUUGAACGCACAUUGCGCCCCCUGGCAUUCCGGGGGGCAUGCCUGUUCGAGCGUCAUUACACCACCCAAGCCUGGCUUGGUAUUGAGCGCCGCGGCCUGCCCGCGCGCUCCAAUGUCUCCGGCUGAGCCGUCCGUCUCUAAGCGUUGUGAAUAGCGAUCGCUUGCGAGGCCCGGGCGGUUCGACGCCGUUAAACCCCCCAUUUUCUAUGGUUGACCUCGGAUCAGGUAGGGAUACCCGCUGAACUUAAGC
rnacentral:misc_RNA from 1 species